UGGCAGAGUACGAGCCCGUGCUGAUCGAGA
rnacentral:piRNA from 1 species